UCGGCCUGCAGACCAAAGGGUCCCGGGUUCGAUUCGGGUCAAGGGCAUCUACUUCAGUUGCAGGCUCGGCCCCGGCCCGGGGCCCUGGCCGGGGGCAUGCAGGAGGCA